ACAGUAGUGGUGUCGACCUUGGUUAGUAUCCGAUCCGGUGAAGAUUAUGUCGAUGUUUCGGACGGUAUCCUCUCGUCUGCUCCGCCAGCACAAGUGCGUGCAUCCAGCAUGCUUCUAUGGAACACAGACUUCUUCAUCGUCAACAAACCUUAAAGAAGUCUUGACGGUAAAAAUUCCUGAAAAACAACAGGAAGUGAUUGCAUUCCGCAAAGAGCAUGGCAAAACCAAGGUCGGGGAGGUCACAGUGGACAUGAUGUACGGAGGGAUGAGAGGAAUCCGGGGACUGGUCACAGAAACAUCUGUCCUUGACCCCGAUGAGGGUAUACGUUUCCGUGGUUACAGUAUUCCAGAAUGCCAGAAACUGCUUCCGACGGCCAAAGGAGGAAAGGAACCUUUACCGGAGGGCUUGUUCUGGCUGCUAGUGACCGGGGAUGUCCCGACCCAGCAACAAGUGGAGGCCAUCACUAGGGAGUGGAAUGAAAGAUCUCCUCUCCCCAACCAUGUGAUCACCAUGCUGAACAACUUCCCCCACAAUCUCCACCCCAUGACCCAGUUUAACUUGUCUCUCAGCUCUAUAAGAUUGUCCCCGACGUCUUGUUGGAGCAAGGAAAAGCCAAGAACCCCUGGCCUAAUGUUGACGCUCACAGUGGGGUCUUACUGCAGCACUAUAAGAUGACCGAGAUGAACUACUACACAGUCCUGUUCGGAGUUUCCCGCGCCCUCGGAUGUAUGGCCUCCUUAAUCUGGGACAGAGCUCUUGGACUGCCGAUUGAACGUCCCAAGUCGUUCGAUACCCCCUCACUUAGGAAACUAGCCAGCCAAGCUGCCAAGUGAUGGACUAAUUAAUCAAUUAACAAUACAGGGAGUGAUUGGGGGGGGGGGGGGUGUAAGGCCUAUGUUUGAUAGGAAUUGUUAAUGUAUUUUGUUAACUCUUCUUUGAUAUUUAUCUGUGUAAAGCUGUACAUUUUCUGUUCUUUUGAUAGUGUCUGCAACAAGGUAUGGAACAAUCUGAUAAUGUGAAUAUUUACAAUGAACUAGAGAACCUGUGUAUGUCCUGUUUGUUCAGUAAAUGGAUGUAGAUUACCAAUCAGUCUGUAUGCAGUGUUUGUUGAUUUGUGGCUUUAUUGGCAGCAGUCUCUACACACCAUGGCUAUUUAUUGGAAUUCACGAUCUCAGGACAAAGAUGUUAACUUCUUCGGAUGUAAUGAAUAACCAUGAUGUGUGUCGGCUGUGCUAUCUAUCAAAACAAGCUUAUGUGCCAUGUAAUACAGAGUCAUCUUGUAGCUUAACAUUAAUUUACUAAUUAAAAGAGGACAUACUUUUACAUAAAUAUGCAGAUUAUCAUUUUAAGUUAACAUUACCAUCCCUAUAGUGAUAAUGAUGUGAUUACGAAAGAAGAAAAACCUU
rnacentral:misc_RNA from 1 species